GCUGGAGUAGCUCAGUGGUAGAGUGCUCGCCUUGCAUGUGUGAGGCACUGGGUUUGAUCCUCAGCACCACA
rnacentral:tRNA from 1 species